CCAGCCGCCGCGGUAAUACGUAGGGUGCAGGCGUUAAUCGGAAUUACUGGGCGUAAAGCGUGCGCAGGCGGUCUUUUAAGUCAGAUGUGAAAUCCCCGGGCUUAACCUGGGAACUGCGUUUGAAACUGGAAGGCUAGAGUGUGGCAGAGGGGGGUGGAAUUCCACGUGUAGCAGUGAAAUGCGUAGAUAUGUGGAGGAACACCGAUGGCGAAGGCAGCCCCCUGGGCUAACACUGACGCUCAUGCACGAAAGCGUGGGGAGCAAACAGGAUUAGAUACCCUGGUAGUCCACGCCCUAAACUAUGUCAACUGGUUGUCGGGGAAGCAAUUCCUUGGUAACGAAGCUAACGCGUGAAGUUGACCGCCUGGGGAGUACGGCCGCAAGGUUAAAACUCAAAGGAAUUGACGGGGACCCGCACAAGCGGUGGAUUAUGUGGAUUAAUUCGAUGCAACGCGAAAAACCUUACCUACCCUUGACAUGCCAGGAACCUCGCAGAGAUGUGAGGGUGCCCGAAAGGGAACCUGGACACAGGUGCUGCAUGGCUGUCGUCAGCUCGUGUCGUGAGAUGUUGGGUUAAGUCCCGCAACGAGCGCAACCCUUGCCAUUAGUUGCCACAUUCAGUUGGGCACUCUAAUGGGACUGCCGGUGACAAACCGGAGGAAGGUGGGGAUGACGUCAAGUCCUCAUGGCCCUUAUGGGUAGGGCUUCACACGUAAUACAAUGGCCGGUACAGAGGGCAGCCAACCCGCGAGGGGGAGCUAAUCCCAGAAAGCCGGUCGUAGUCCGGAUUGCAGUCUGCAACUCGACUGCAUGAAGCCGGAAUCGCUAGUAAUCGCGGAUCAGCAUGUCGCGGUGAAUACGUUCCCGGGUCUUGUACACACCGCCCGUCACACCAUGGGAGUGGGUUCCACCAGAAGUAGCUAGCCUAACCGCAAGGAGGGCGACUACCACGGUGAGAUUCAUGACUGGGGUGAAGUCGUAACAAGGUAACCAAG
rnacentral:rRNA from 1 species